GACGAACGCUGGCGGCGUGCCUAAUACAUGCAAGUAGAACGCUGAAGGAGGAGCUUGCUUCUCUGGAUGAGUUGCGAACGGGUGAGUAACGCGUAGGUAACCUGCCUGGUAGCGGGGGAUAACUAUUGGAAACGAUAGCUAAUACCGCAUAAUAUUGACUAUUGCAUGAUAGUCAGUUGAAAGGUGCAACUGCACCACUACCAGAUGGACCUGCGUUGUAUUAGCUAGUUGGUGGGGUAACGGCUCACCAAGGCGACGAUACAUAGCCGACCUGAGAGGGGGGUCGGCCCACCUGGGACUGAGACACGGCCCAGACUCCUACGGGAGGCAGCAGUAGGGAAUCUUCGGCAAUGGACGGAAGUCUGACCGAGCAACGCCGCGUGAGUGAAGAAGGUUUUCGGAUCGUAAAGCUCUGUUGUAAGAGAAGAACGAGUGUGAGAGUGGAAAGCUCACACUGUGACGGUAUCUUACCAGAAAGGGACGGCUAACUACGUG
rnacentral:rRNA from 1 species